rnacentral:lncRNA from 1 species
AGCGCAGCACCCAUGGCAUCCCUCCCUUCGACAUGAGGUACAGUCCUCGCCACCCUGCAUGCCAAGUUGUUGUGCCACACGCGGCGGCGCCCUCCCGAGUCAAGAGCCUCUGAGUGCGGUGAGUCCCUUGUGUUGCGGUCGCCCCGCACCACAAGGCGCUGCUAUAUGCCGCGACUAUUAUAGUGCGUGAGAUUCCACCUUUCCUGCAGAUUAGAUUCUUACCAGGCCCGAGGUGCUGCAAAAAAAAAAUCAAAAUUCACGAAAAUACAUAAAGCAACACGAGUAAUCUCCUGCCUCCCAGCCCUCGGGCACGGAAGGGUUGAUGCCAAACUUGGUCGUGAGCACUCCAUUUCCUAGCCGAGGCGCAUGUUGCGGGGGAGCCCAGCAACUAUACGCCCCGUGAUGCACGUUGCGGGAGACCCGGCAACUGCAUGUCCCAUGAUGCACGUCGCGGUUGACCCGGCAACUGCAUGCCCCAUGAUGCACGUCGCGG